AGUUCCAAGUUUUAAUCAUCCAUGAUCCCUCUUUGUCAAGUGCUUAUCUGUAAAGGAGAUUAAAAGACUAAGCCUUCCUUUCUUAUUUUUCCCUCUCUUGGAUGAGAAGCUAUAGCUCCUCAUUUUCAAUUUGAGUUCUUACUUUUGGAACCAAUGUGACUAGAGGGUAAAAAUACCGAAUCAAGUGAAGUAGUAAACAACAAAUCAUGAAUCAACAAAUUAGUGAAAAAAUAAGUUAACAUGAUAUAGAUAAGUGAUAAAAAAUUUAGAAGACAACAUAAAUUGUUUGAAAGCAUAUUCUUACAUUGCCACCUCAGCCAUCUCAAUUAAAUAACAUUAAUUCUAUAUUUUUCCAUUUUAGCUUUGAUGGUAACAAGUCAAUAUGUUAUGUUUCUCAUUUCUUCUGUAAAUCCCAUAGCUUCUGUAAUUCCAAACAAUACAUUUCCUAUUGCAAAUCUGCCCAUUUUGUCACCCUUAACUUAAAAUGUACGUCGUUUCUCAACCUUAAUUAUUGCACAAUCAAAACACUUCUCUUUCCUUUCAUCUACCCUUCAAUAUUUUCUGUCUAACCAGGGACAAUCGUCACUCCACAUCAUCACUUCCCACUUUCACCGCAUUCUUUCCCCUGUCAGAAGGGCAUGAAGGAUCUCACAAGUGCCACAAAUUCAAGGCCAACAAAUAAUCAUCAAGUCUUCAUCUUAAGCUAUUUUUCAUUUUCUAUUGAUUAUUACAUUUUAACACUUAAAUAAAAGAUCUUUGAGAAGGAUUAUAUAUAUUUCAUUAAGGAGCAAAUUAACAACACUGAAGCUUAGGAAGAACUUGACGUUGUUGUCUUUAAUAACAUCAUGAAGGUAUGCAAAAUAACUUUUAUGGCUUCUGUCCAAAUUUAAAUGGUCAUUUUUGCAAAAUUUUGAUCAUUAUCUAUUUGUUAUCAAGGGUGAGGUUGAGGAUCUGGAAAAAGCAAUAUUAAUGUCAUCCAAAUUUAUGAGGUUACUCUUAACAUAAACUUCCGCACUAAAGAAGUCUGAAUAGGCUUCUAUCUAAACCUGGUCGUUCGCUUAUUUAGGAUUACAAACUGUGGUGUGAAAGACACUACCCCUAUUUAACAUCGUUUCUCUAACCUUAAUCUCUACAAAUGAUUUACUGAGUGUAUAUUAGUUUUAUUAUAUCAUGCUGUUUGGAAGUUUCACACUCAUAUGUGCUUCUUAAAUUUCGAUGAAGGUUAUAUUUCACAUUUUGCAUUUUAUAACUAUGAUGUGUACUAGUACUAAAAAAUGUUAUCCCCUUUAUGUAGCCUGUCCUUACUUUCUUUUGUAAUAAAAGAUCAAAUCCCUAUUUAUUUUUGCACAAUUUCGUUAGAUAUUUGUUCAUAUACCAAUAUCUGUUUUAUUGCAAAAGCUUGGCCCUUUAUUUAUCCGAAUCAAUUAUACAAGUUUCUCUGCAGCAAACACCCUCUGAAGGACAUGGUAAUGUCACUGCCAAAUUGUAAGCAAGCUAUUAUAGUCUUCAACUUGAUUGGUAAGAAGUUUUUCUUUGUCAUUCAACUUUCAAAUAUCACUGGAUAUUCUGAACUAGCUGGGAUGACUAUCAGAAUUUAUUCAAUACAUUUUUUUAUGCUUAUCUUAGAAUUGAAAUUGUUAUUUUCAUUGCACGAAAUCAUAUUUCACCAACAAACGAAUCAGUUUGGGUUGAUGUACUGUUAUUGUUAUUUAUAGGCUAUAGCCCAUUAUGACGUUUUGACAAAAACUUAGCUCUAAGAGAAGAAAAUUUAACUUCCUAACUUUGCUUGAUAUGAUUCGUGCAAAAUUAUCAAUUUAAUUAGUCACAAAAUAAAAAAUGUUAAAAAAAAAAUCCUCAAAAUAAAUUUGCUUCACCAACUGGAAUAUUGACAGCCCGAUGUUCUCCCCUCUUUAUAAGAAUUAACCAUCCCAAGAUUAUUUUUAUUUAUUUCUCCUAAUUCGUAUAUUUGAUGAAUAGUUUUAUACUAUAUAUUGUAAUGUUAAAAAUAUAUUACAUUAUCAAUCAAGCUUAACUGUUGAUCAUUGUCACACAUAUUAAUAAUUGUGUAAAACUUUUUAAACUAAUUUUGUAUGACAAUUAUUUGUAUUGUCUUAUAGUUAGUUGUAGAUGAGACCUACUGUUUGCUGAUUAGGACUUCAAAGGGAUUAGCAUUAGACAAAAAUGAAAGAUUUCCUAACGGAGUUGUAGCUGCACAAGUUACUGAAGUAGAAUGAUCUUGAUUCAAACAUAGGAUGUCUGUCUUCGACUUGAACAAGCAACAAAAUAGGAUGUCUGUCUUCGACUUGAACAAGCAACAAAAUAGGAUGUCUGUCUUCGACUUGAACAAGCAACAAAAUAUGAAACAAGAACUAAACUGAUAUUUAGUUUUAUAAUUUAUUUUUAUUUGUUGUACCAAAAAAACAAGUUAUUUUCAUUUGUAAUGAUCUCCCCUUCUUGUGUUCGAUCUGUAUUGAGCUUUGGAUAUCAGGUUAAGAUUUUCUUUCACAAA